GAGACGUGGUAAAUAAAAGUGCCUCGUCUAUAAAAAAACCUCGUGAAUUGCUGGGAACUCUUUGAUGACUUAUCGGCUACAACGAAACUGGAAACGGUAUGCGUGAAUGCUUGAAAACGAUAAGAGGAUAAAGACAAUCAGCAGCCAAGCCUCUAAGACGAAUGGUUAUGAGGAAGGUUCAACGACCAUCGAAAGCAUGCGAAAUUAGCAGAAGCGAGUAGAGUAGGGUUCAAGCGAACUCGAAGUGCGAGGACACCAGGUCUAGGUGUAAGAUAUGGUCUGAACUCUAUGGCGACAUAGAG
rnacentral:ncRNA from 1 species